UGAUCAGUGAGAAGUCAGGCAAGGAUACAUCCACAGCCCAACUGUAUUUGAAACGAUCGAGAGUAAACAUGAGAGCAGCACCUCUUCUCUAUUUGCUGUGCGCCACCAUGGUUCUGCGCGUUCUAAGCGUCCCGGUCAGCGAAAAAGUUCCUCCGCCGAAACAACUGGGGAGAGGGCCUUAUCAUCCCCCUGGUAUUCUUGGUCCUUUAAAUGACCAAAUCACGGAAAUACCGAAACAUUUGUUUCCAAACAAGACCCUUGACGAAAUCAGAGAAAUAUUGCUGAAAAGCAAAACUUCGUAGUCAUCGAACACGAAAGACCAAAAGAUUCAACACGUGACUAAGGAUCAGUGAAACAGAAGAUUCAAAAUCUGCACUGUCCACAAAUCAGUAUUACUCUAAACUGCUCUCAACUGAAAUGAAUUAAAAGUGAAGAUAUAAGCCAAUGACAGCUGUUAUUUUUAUAGAUGUUUUUUCGAUUGGACGUAAAGAUUAAUGACCAGUAGUCAGUGUCUGAUGGAUCAAUUAGUUUGUUAACUUUGGGACCAGUCAUAAGCUGUGUGUAUUCUGAAUGUCUCAACCAACAAUACAGUUUUUGAAAACCAUCUCCUUUCUUUCUUCUCUGUCCACUGCCUCACACAUUUCCAUUCCACCAAAGGCAAAUAAAAUGCAUCCUUUCUGGG